CUGAAGCAGAUGAAGAGCCAAUUUUGUAUAAGUCCAAAUAACGAAAUCGGUAUGCUAAACCACAUAGGAUGCCAUAUAGUCAAGCAUAUUAUUUUCCUCUCUGAAGGUGUGUCUGAUAAGGCAUCAAAAGUAGGUCACAAUGAGUCUUUGAGCAUCAACCUACAAGGGAUGAUGGCCCUCCUGAAGUUCAGAUCCUAAAGAAAACUACG
rnacentral:lncRNA from 1 species